AAGUCGUAACAAGGUUUCCGUAGGUGAACCUGCGGAAGGAUCAUUAAAAAUUUUACUACACACACCGUGCAUUAAACAAUUUGUAAAAACAGUUUUAAUAUUAAUUGAAACAACUUUUAGCAACGGAUCUCUAGGUUCUC
rnacentral:misc_RNA from 1 species